UACGAAGGGUGCAAACGUUGCUCGGAAUUAUUGGGCGUAAAGCGCACGUAGGCGGCUUAGCAAGUCGGAAGUGAAAGCCCUCGGCUCAACCAAGGAAGUGCUUUCGAAACUGCUGAGCUUGAGUAGUUAAGAGGAUCGCGGAAUUCCCGGUGUAGAGGUGAAAUUCGUAGAUAUUGGGAAGAACACCGGUGGCGAAGGCGGCUCACUGGCCCGUAACUGACGCUCAUGCACGACAGCGUGGGGAGUCAAACAGGA
rnacentral:rRNA from 1 species